rnacentral:lncRNA from 1 species
UUGGUUGCUGUUUUAGGAUUUUUCCUUCUUUUGGACCCUAGGCUAGUCCUAGUGGUCUUGUCACUUACAUUUGAACUUGUUUUUGGUUUUUCAGGUUAAGAAGUUAAUGAUUAAAGGAAUUGUUUCACAUUUGGGAUUAUCUUACUUGACUUGUAAACUAAUGUGGCUGUUUUGUAGGAUGUAUAGCUCCUUUGAGCUUUGAGCCUUGUGCCUCGCACAUUGUUG